rnacentral:rRNA from 1 species
ACUCGAGUGGCGAACGGGUGAGUAACACGUGGGUGAUCUGCCUUGCACUUCGGGAUAAGCCUGGGAAACUGGGUCUAAUACCGGAUAGGACCAUGCUUUAGUGUGUGUGGUGGAAAGUUUUUCGGUGCAAGAUGAGCCCGCGGCCUAUCAGCUUGUUGGUGGGGUAAUGGCCUACCAAGGCGGCGACGGGUAGCCGGACUGAGAGGUUGGUCGGCCACAUUGGGACUGAGAUACGGCCCAG